CAACUUUCAACAACGGAUCUCUUGGUUCUGGCAUCGGUGAAGAACGCAGCGAAAUGCGAUAAGUAGUGUGAAUUGCAGAAUUCAGUGAAUCAUCGAAUCUUUGAACGCACAUUGCGCCCUUUGGUAUUCCAAAGGGCAUGCCUGUUCGAGCGUCAUU
rnacentral:rRNA from 1 species